GAUGAACGCUGGCGGCGUGCCUAAUACAUGCAAGUCGAGCGAACGGACGAGAAGCUUGCUUCUCUGAUGUUAGCGGCGGACGGGUGAGUAACACGUGGAUCACCUACCUAUCAUACUGGGAUAACUUCGGGAAACCGGCGCUAACACCGGAUAAUAUUUUGAACCGCAUGGUUCAAAAGUGAAAGACGGUCUUGCUGUAUCUACUAGAUGGAUCCGAGCUGCAUUAGCUAGUUGGUAAGGUAACGGCUUACCAAGGCAACGCUGCAUAGCCGACCUGAUAGGGUGAUCGGCCACACUGGAACUGAGACACGGUCCAGACGCCUACGGGAGGCAGCAGUAGGGAAUCUUCCGCAAUGGGCGAAAGCCUGACGGAGCGACGCCGCGUGAGUGAUGAAGGUCUUCGGAUCGUAAAACUCUGUUAUUAGGGAAGAACAUAUGUGUAAGUAACUGUGCACAUCGUGACGGUACCUAGUCAGAAAGCCACGGCUAACUACGUG
rnacentral:rRNA from 1 species